UACGGGGGGGGCAAGCGUUGUUCGGAAUUACUGGGCGUAAAGGGCUCGUAGGCGCCAACUAAGUCAGACGUGAAAUCCCCCGGCUUAACCAGGGAACUGCGUCUGAUACUGGCGAUCUUGAGUCCGGGAGAGGUGAGUGGAACUGCGAGUGUAGAGGUGAAAUUCGUAGAUAUUCGCAAGAACACCAGUGGCGAAGGCGGCUCACUGGCCCGGUAACUGACGCUGAGGCGCGAAGGCUAGGGGAGCAAACGGG
rnacentral:rRNA from 1 species